rnacentral:lncRNA from 1 species
GGAAAUUCAAAAGUAAAGUACAUGCUCCUAUCUCUCAUCUUGAUGGCUGGAAACUGAUCUGUUACUGGGACUAUGAAAAAAUGCAAGAUCAUGUAAGUGUGUAGGUAGGUUCUCUGCCUGUGUAAGUUAUUCACUGAUUUCAAUGAUGUUUUGGCAGCUGAUGACUGGUUGAUGAUCCAGAGAUGUUUCUUUUUAUGUGUUGGCAUGAACUAAUGGACCAUGGCUGUUGUCUGAGUGAAGCUGAGGAGGGCAGUGAUAGAGCAGCCUUGGUGGGGUCAAUCUUCCACAGCAGACACCAGGACACUGAACUCUGAACUCUUCAAAGGCCUACUUCAUAGCUAAACUGUGUCUUCUGGUAAGAUUUAGGUAUUUUU